rnacentral:rRNA from 1 species
GUCGCGCCAGCGGCAGCGCUCGGUAGCCAAGUCGGGCAUGGAUAAACGCUGAAUGCAUCUAAGCGUGAAGCCAGACCCAAGAUUAGUCCUGCCAGUGAGGCUCGUGGAAGACCACCACGUUGAUAGGCCAGAGGUGUAAGCGCAGUAAUGCGUUCAGCCGACUGGUACUAAAAGCCCCAUGGCUUGACCAUAAAAC